UGCUCAACAAUCGAAUUGCCUUUGAAACUGUGUGGCUCGAGUAUAGAUGAGGUAGGCGGGAAUGUGUAGUGUAGCGGUGAAAUGCAUAGAUAUUACACAGAACCCCAAUUGCGAAGGCAGCUUACCAAACUAUUACUGACGCUGAAGCACGAAAGCGUGGGUAGCGAACAGGAUUAGAUACCCUGGUAGUCCACGCCGUAAACUAUGCUCACUCGCUGUUGGCAAUAGAUCGUCAGCGGCUAAGGGAAACCGAUAAGUGAGCCACCUGGGGAGUACGAUCGCAAGAUUGAAACUCAAAGGAAUUGACGGGGGCCCGCACAAGCGGAGGAACAUGUGGUUUAAUUCGAUGAUACGCGAGGAACCUUACCUGGGCUUAAAUGUAGAGUGCAUAAAGUGGAAACAUUUUUUUCCUUCGGGACUCUUUACAAGGUGCUGCAUGGUUGUCGUCAGCUCGUGCCGUGAGGUGUCGGGUUAAGUCCCAUAACGAGCGCAACCCCUAUCGUUAGUUACCAGCACGUAUUGGUGGGGACUCUAGCGAAACUGCCGGUGUAAACCGUGAGGAAGGUGGGGAUGACGUCAAAUCAGCACGGCCCUUAUGUCCAGGGCUACACGCGUGUUACAAUGGUCGGUACAGUGGGCAGCCACAUAGCAAUAUGGAGCUAAUCUCAAAAGCCGAUCUCAGUUCGGAUUGGAGUCUGCAACCCGACUCCAUGAAGGUG
rnacentral:rRNA from 1 species